GUUUAGCUCAGCUGGUUUAGAGCAUCUGCCUUACAAGCAGAGGGUCGGCGGUUCGAAUCCGUCAACGCC
rnacentral:tRNA from 1 species